rnacentral:rRNA from 1 species
AACGAACGCUGGCGGCGCGCCUAAUACAUGCAAGUCGAGCGAGAAGGUGUAGCAAUACACUUGUAAAGCGGCGAACGGGUGAGGAAUGCAUGGGUAACCUACCCUCGAGUGGGGAAUAACUAGCCGAAAGGUUAGCUAAUACCGCAUACGUUUCCGGAACUUCGGUUUCGGAAAGAAAGCAAUACCGUGGGUAUUGCGCUCCUGGAUGGGCUCAUGUCCUAUCAGCUUGUUGGUGAGGUAACGGCUCACCAAGGCUUCGACGGGUAGCUGGUCUGAGAGGACGAUCAGCCACACUGGCACUGCGACACGGGCCAGACUCCUACGGGAGGCAGCAGUAAGGAAUAUUGCGCAAUGGACGAAAGUCUGACGCAGCGACGCCGCGUGGGGGGAUGAAGGUCUUCGGAUUGUAAACCCCUUUCGGGAGGGAAGAUGGAGUGGGUAACCACUUGGACGGUACCUCCAGAAGCAGCCACGGCUAACUUCGUGCCAGCAGCCGCGGUAAU